rnacentral:lncRNA from 1 species
ACAUCUUUUCUCUAAUUUUUUCAGGAUCAUUUAAUAAUCAUCAUAUUUAGGCACUCAUGUAUUAUGGAUAUUGAACUGUAGUUUGAUAUAAUAUUUUAGAUAUUGAAUGAAUUAAAGAGUGUGAUUUUCUGUAUUAAUGUAUGAGAUGUUUAAUAGAUUUGUAUAUUAAUAAAAUUUGAGAUUGUGGUUUGUUGUGUAUUAUGAAUAUUGGUUGUGAAUGUGAUAUCAUAGCAAUGGGUUUCUAUAUAUCAAAAAAUAAUAAUAUUUAAUUAUCAAUUAAUAUUUCAAACAAAUUAAAAGCUUAACAGUAUAAUAAUCUUUUUAAUCCUAGAUUAACAAAAAUAAUUAGCG